AAUAGCGGCCAUAGCAGUGGGGAAACACCUGGACCCAUUCCGAACCCAGCAGUGAAGCCCACUUACGUAACCCGUUGUACUGAGGUACGCGAGUCCUCGGGAACCUGGAUACGCUGCUAUUA
rnacentral:rRNA from 1 species